CCAUGGCAACGGACGCCGGGUUCGUGACUCCCACCGCCCCGGGAGCCGCUCGGCUGGAGGUGUCACUGCCCAGCAGGCAUGGCCCAGGCUCCGACAGGGAACCUGAAGGAGGCGUUCAGGACGCAGCUGUGCUGGAAGCUCGUCAAGAACCUCGCCGUUAUUGAACAAUACCAGAGCCACCCCAGAUAUACCAUUUCAGAUGAUCUAAAAGUUGGCUUUUUCACCACAGACCAUGCUACCCAAACAGAUACCAAUGAGAUUUUGCCAGUAAAAGAAUUAAGUUCAUCUACACAAAAGUUAAUUCAGGUUAUUACAGCCCUUCAGGUGGAUUUUAGGUUCCUUAAAGAACUGGUUCAGUUGAAGUUUGAGGACAGUCUUCAAGAAGAGUCUUCAAAAAUCGUCGUUGCUCUCCAGGACAGGAUCUUAGAGAUGGAAAAGCACUAUCAACAGAAUGAGGAGAAUAUGAGAAAAUGCUUUCAGCAGCAGUUAGCUGAUGCCAUCGCCGUCGUCAAAGGAAUGUACCAGCAAUAUUUUGAUGUAGAGGAAGAAAAAACUUCUUUGCAAGAUGCAGAAAAUGUCAAGUUGGGUGUUUUGUCAAGAAAACUGAAAGAGAAAGAAGAAAUUAUCAAUGAAUUAAGAGAGCAACUAGAACAAUGUGAAGGAUUUGAAAAACUUGACACUUUUGCCGAGGCCAGCUCUUCCAAAUUAAACUUAGAAAGGGAAAACUGGGAGCACAGAACGGAAAACGAGAGACUGCUCAAAGUCAUUUCGGAUCUUGAAGAAGAACUCAAACUCAGUGUAAAAGAAAAUUCAAUAUUAGAAGAUGAACUUAUAAGUCUGAAAGAGAUCUCAGAGAAGAAUCAGAAAACUAUUCAAAAGUUAACAGAUGCUAGAGACAGAUUAAGAUACGAGCUUGAUAGUGAAAAAGUAUUAGUUCAAGAUAUGGUCACUAAGCACAAGGAAGAAAUGGAAGCAUAUGCCAAGAACCUGAAAUCAGCCAAGAAGAGAGAGCCCUCUGUAUCUCCGUGGCAGUCACAGCCCAAGAGUGCAACAUCUUUGAGGCCAGUUUCUGCCUCCAUGAGUGUACAGUCUAUCAAAAGUAAGAAAUCCAGGACAUCACUGAAAAAAAUGCCAAAACCAGAGCCAGAAGUGGACAGUUCAGGUCCCUCUCACAUCAGCUCCAAGGCUAGACUUGAGACCACCUCCACUGACAGACAGAAGUCCUCCAAGAGUGACAAAACAAAGGACCUUUUGGAUGAAGGAACCCAUGUGAAGGAAAAGUUUAGAUCUAAGACACCAACUGCAGUACAUGAAGAAAAGAAGGUAGAAGCAACAGUCCCUAAGGAGGAAGACAAAGAAGCUUUGAAAGCACAAAUAGAAGCAUUAAAAGCUGAGUUAGAGAAUGUGAAACAGAAGUUUGAAAGAUUUAGAAAGGAAUCAGAACGAAUAAGCAAAAACUGGGAGAAGAGAUUCAUGAUUCUCAGGAGCAGCUUUCAUGCACUUAAGAAUGAGAUGUUUACCAGGCACACACUGUUUCGUCAGUUUGCAAUACUUGCUGAUACAUCCUUCAAUUAUGUUAAAUCGAACCCCUUAUUUGUGCAGUCUAAAGCAAACUUGACGGAUACCACAUCUCCUCCAGCUAGUCAUUUCCCUUCAGUAGGUAGAUUUAUUUCCUCCAGUAAACAUUUAAGCAGUCAAUACUACUCAACUUCAAUAAACUUUUUGGUUUACCUACAGAUAGACAAGAGGCAUGUGGACACAAUGAAUGAUCAAGCAUCUUCAUCAAAAGCCUUUCACCCGCCUUUGAAGAGGUCAUCCAUACCGAAGAACGAUGCGAAACCACCUAAUGAAUCAGCACAGAGCAUCAGCCAAAGAAAGGUCUCUCUCGCCAUCCCCCACAUAUCCUGGCCUGAGUAAGGUCUGCCUCCCUGGUGAGGGAACUACUAUCACCAAGGCAUUUCUAAAGGCAAUGUACACUAUUUGAGCACCACACUCUAAAAUUCAGCACGCACCUUUUCCGGGCACCUUUUUAAUCCCUAAGGAAACUGCUCACCAGUACUGGGUAAUGGUUAAACUGGGUGAGUGGGGCACACAGACCCUGAGGGGUGGUCAAAUGCAUUCUGGUGCUCCCAGGAUCCCGGCUGUACCCGGCACCCAAGGGUGGGAAAGAUUGGACUUUCAUUAAAAAGUUUAAGGCAUUAAGCGU
rnacentral:lncRNA from 1 species